rnacentral:rRNA from 1 species
UACAGAGGCCCCAAGCAUUAUCCGGAAUCACUGGGCGUAAAGGGUGUCAAGGCGGUCAUGUUAGUCGUUCGUUAAAUCCGGGGGCUCAACCUCCGGCCUGCGAGCGAAACGGCAUGACUUGAGGUCUGAAGAGGUGUGUGGAACUCACGGUGUAGGGGUGAAAUCCGUUGAUAUCGUGGGGAACACCAAAGGCGAAGGCAGCACACUGGUCAGAAUCUGACGCUCACACACGAAAGCCAGGGUAGCGAACGGG